rnacentral:ncRNA from 1 species
GCAGAGUAGAAGUUGAUGCGUUAAGUGUCCCAUGAACGGGGAGUUGUCAUGGGAACGAAAGGAUUUGUUCUUGCGGUAUCAAUUUCGCAUCCCACUGU